ACAAGAUGAUCUGCCCUCAGAUCCAGAGGUCCCCCCCCGCCAUGUUGAGUUUCCUGUUCAACUCCGCCGCUCUAAUCGAAAACACGAAGGCCCAUCUGUCUCCACUCCUGCCUCCGUGUCUGAAGGUCAACAAUCCUCUUCUUCUGAGCCUAUUCCUGAGGAUGACCCUCUGCGUUCUGAAUCCUCUGAUUCAUCUGUGGGCUCUCAACUCUCUGCUGGGCUGUGUUAGCUUUGUCUGGGAUUUUCCGUCUUCUUAAAUCUCAAGGGUUGUUGGGCACUAUUGUGAGUGCACAACCUUUCGAAAGCUGAGUUCUUAUGGUGCAUCACUCACGACCUCAAGAUCAAUAUUGGUGAACUGAUUUUCAAUCAGAUUGGUGCGUUAGCCAAUUCCCGCACUGAGCGUGAGCAUUUGCCAUUUCCUUCUCUGAUCUAUCAGCUUCUGAUCAAACAAGGCCUGCCUACUCGUGAUGCCACCCUGUUGGACCCACCUGGCCGUCCAAUUACUAUCCACGGUAAGGUCCUCUCUGAACAUUUUGCUGAUCUGCCUCCUGUCGAUCCUUCUGUUGUUCAGACAGUCCCUCGUGCGAAGAAGGCUCCAAUUGUCUCUGCCUCUAUUCCGCCGCCGGUUGAUGUGGUCACCAAGGAUGAGCUCACUCGUUUUCAGGAGUCUAUCCAGGCUCAGCUCGCUCAAGGGUUUGCCUCUAUUCAGGAUCAGCUGCUUAGGACUUUGGCACAUUCUGGUCAGAAAGGGGGAGUAGCAACAACUCCAACUCCUGCGGCUUCCACCAA